rnacentral:rRNA from 1 species
GACGAACGCUGGCGGCGUGCUUAACACAUGCAAGUCGAGCGGUAAGGCUCUUUCGGGGGUACACGAGCGGCGAACGGGUGAGUAACACGUGGGUGACCUGCCCUCAGCUCUGGGAUAAGCCUGGGAAACCGGGUCUAAUACUGGAUAUGACUCCAUGACGCAUGUUGUGGGGUGGAAAGCCUUGUGCGGCUGAGGAUGGGCCCGCGGCCUAUCAGCUUGUUGGUGGGGGAUGGCCUACCAAGGCGACGACGGGUAGCCGGCCUGAGAGGGCGACCGGCCACACUGGGACUGAGACACGGCCCAGACUCCUACGGGAGGCAGCAGUGGGGAAUCUUGCGCAAUGGGCGAAAGCCUGACGCAGCGACGCCGCGUGAGGGAUGACGGCCUGGUGUAACU